rnacentral:rRNA from 1 species
UACAGAGGGUGCGAGCGUUAAUCGGAAUUACUGGGCGUAAAGGGCGCGUAGGUGGUUAAUUAAGUCAGAUGUGAAAUCCCUGGGCUUAACCUAGGAAUUGCAUAUGAAACUGGUUGGCUAGAGUUUGGGAGAGGGAAGUGGAAUUUCCGGUGUAGCGGUGAAAUGCGUAGAUAUCGGAAGGAACACCAGUGGCGAAGGCGACUUCCUGGCCCAAUACUGACACUGAGGUGCGAAAGCGUGGGGAGCAAACAGG